GCUCUAGUAACGGCGAGUGAAGCAGCAAUAGCUCAAAUUUGAAAUCUGGCGUCUUCGACGUCCGAGUUGUAAUUUGUAGAGGAUGCUUCUGAGUAACCACCGACCUAAGUUCCUUGGAACAGGACGUCAUAGAGGGUGAGAAUCCCGUAUGCGGUCGGAAAGGUGCUCUACACGUAGCUCCUUCGACGAGUCGAGUUGUUUGGGAAUGCAGCUCUAAAUGGGAGGUAAAUUUCUUCUAAAGCUAAAUAUUGGCCAGAGACCGAUAGCGCACAAGUAGAGUGAUCGAAAGAUGAAAAGCACUUUGGAAAGAGAGUUAAAAAGCACGUGAAAUUGUUAAAAGGGAAGGGAUUGCAACCAGACUUGCUCGCGGUGUUCCGCCGGUCUUCUGACCGGUCUACUCGCCGCGUUGCAGGCCAGCAUCGUCUGGUGCCGCUGGAUAAGACUUGAGGAAUGUAGCUCCCUCGGGAGUGUUAUAGCCUCUUGUGAUGCAGCGAGCGCCGGGCGAGGUCCGCGCUUCGGCUAGGAUGCUGGCGUAAUGGUCGUAAUCCGCCCGUCUUGA
rnacentral:rRNA from 1 species